AUUGAACGCUGGCGGCAGGCCUAACACAUGCAAGUCGAGCGGUAGCACAGAGAGCUUGCUCUCGGGUGACGAGCGGCGGACGGGUGAGUAAUGUCUGGGAAACUGCCUGAUGGAGGGGGAUAACUACUGGAAACGGUAGCUAAUACCGCAUAACGUCGCAAGACCAAAGCGGGGGACCUUCGGGCCUCAUGCCAUCAGAUGUGCCCAGAUGGGAUUAGCUAGUAGGUGGGGUAACGGCUCACCUAGGCGACGAUCCCUAGCUGGUCUGAGAGGAUGACCAGCCACACUGGAACUGAGACACGGUCCAGACUCCUACGGGAGGCAGCAGUGGGGAAUAUUGCACAAUGGGCGCAAGCCUGAUGCAGCCAUGCCGCGUGUGUGAAGAAGGCCUUCGGGUUGUAAAGCACUUUCAGCGGGGAGGAAGGGAGUAAAGUUAAUACCUUUACUCAUUGACGUUACCCGCAGAAGAAGCACCGGCUAACUCCGUGCCAGCCGCCGCCGUAA
rnacentral:rRNA from 1 species